UUCAAGGUUCCUAUAAGUUGUAUAGUACAGUGUUUUUAAAAAAUCUUGGGGUGUUUUUUAAAAUUAGAUAUAUUUUGCCCGGGAAUUUUUUUAACAAGAUUGCUAAAACAUCUUAUUUAGACAGUUUGAUGUACCAAUUUAUAAUUGGAUAUUCAACUUAAAUAGUAUACAGAGUUGUGACUUUUAUUUUAAUUAAUUUUUUCCUUGUGGGUAGUGUGCAUGGGAUGACAAACCUGAACAGAGGCUGUGAGUUGUAUGAGUGCAGAGUUUGUAAAUGAAUUGAUUGGGUAAGAUUGACAUUUGCUUCUGAGGUAUUUUUCAGGCCAUGUGCAUAAAAUCUGCCUCAAAUUUCUAUCAUAGCAGGAAUGUAAAAGAGAUAAAAAUCCUUUGUUUUUGAGUUCUGACAGCUAGGGGGUGCAAAUGUUUAGGCAGCGUAUUUGAAAUGUUCUGAGGUCUGGGCACCAAAAUGAGAAAACUCUUUACAGUUAAGUAAUAAGAUUCAGCUAGCACCCACAGAUUACUGUUUUUUAAACUUUUGACGUCUUACAGUUAGCUUUAAAAUAAUGAUGGUUUUAUAAAUUGAUCUCCACAAUAAUUUUGGUAUUUUCCUUCUUCCCCCAUUUAGAAAUGUGUUGAACAUGAAAAUUUACAGGGUCUGAAGUUGUUCAUCUUCGGGCCAAAUUUUUUAUGGCACUUUAGUUUUAACCACAGUACUCAUCUAUUACACUCUUCUCUUAUAAAAUUUACCCUUACUUCUUUUGUUCAUGGUUAGUGUCUUUGGGGGAUGUUAUGGAAAAGUUACUUUAUAUUUUAUAAGGAGAACGCUCAAAUUAAUUAUACCUCCUAGUUAAAAUUUCUUAAAUAUAUAUGAAACUUGAACUAAAGAUUUUUUUUAUAUAUAUAUUGAGAAAAGCCUAUUAAAGUCUCAAUUUACCUUUUUUGGUCUGCCAGUAAAUUAAAUAGCUAAAUACAGUACCAGCUAAAUAUAGCUGCUUGUAUAUUCUAUGAUUUAAUAAAAUGAUGCAGACUAGUUAUAUUCAUAGUAAACAUAUGAUUGAAGUGUCCUUCAUCUUAUCUGAAAGAACAAGAUUACAUGCUCAGUUCAAUUAAUGGAAAUUAUUUCAUUUUAAAUGGUUUUUAAAAAAUAAAGCUACUUACCCAGAUGAAAUGCACCGUUUUAAAAUACGACUGUCAAGCUAUUCAAGACUAUUUUAUAACACAAAGUGAAGUCAGUGCUAUCUUGAUCCAAUUUAAGCCUAAGAAUCGUUGCAUUUUCCAUGUUCAUUAAAAACAGCAGCAGAGAUUCUUCGGCAGGCAAGAAAAUGUUUAUUUCAUAAUCACUCUGAGAUUUAUUUUGGUGAUGUGUUUCUGACUGCCAUCUUCUUUGCUCUCAUCUCUCUACUAGUAUUUCCCCCCGUGCCAUUACCACUUGAUUUUUAUGUCUGCUGGCAGUGAGAGGCUAAAAUGACUGGCCAACGUAAGCCAAAGCUGUAAACAACAGUUGAAGUGUAUCUUCAUGGAUGCAGCAUGGUACAAGAUAGAGUGUGCUGUGCCAGGAAGACUACUUUCCUAUGACUCAGGAAACCUAGCAUCACUCCUAGCCAAAGCCAUCUGGGCCUCAGUUUCCUGAUCUGCAGCGGAAUAUGCCGAUCUCCAAGGAUCCAUCCAGCUGUGAUAUGCCAUGAAUAUGUGACUUGAAAAGCAAGGGAGAUCAAAGAUGGGAAAGGCAGUCAAUGUCUGCUUGCUUCUUCCACGGGAAAUUAAAGAAAGCACAACUAACGUUGUAAAGAUGUGGGCUUAAAUAUUUGUAGAUUAAA